GAUGAACGCUGGCGGCGUGCUUAACACAUGCAAGUCGAACGGAAAGGCCCUGCUUUUGUGGGGUUCUCGAGUGGCGAACGGGUGAGUAACACGUGAGUAACCUGCUCUUGACUUUGGGAUAACUUCAGGUAACUGGGGCUAAUACCGGAUAGGAGCUCCUGCUGCAUGGUGGGGGUUGGAUAGUUUCGGCGGUUGGGGAUGGAUUCGCGGCUUAUCAGCUUGUUGGUGGGGUAGUGGCUUACCAAGGCUUUGACGGGUAGCCGGCAUGAGAGGGUGACCGGCCACAAGGGGACUGAGAGACGGAGCAGACUCGUACGGGAGGCAGCAGUGGGGAAUAUUGCACAAUGGGCGGGAGCCUGAGGCAGCAACGCCGCGGGCGGGAUGACGGCCUUCGGGUUGUGAACCGCUUUCGCCUGUGACGAAGCGUGAGUGACGGUAAUGGGUAAAGAAGCACCGGCUAACUACGUG
rnacentral:rRNA from 1 species